GUUGUCCGGAUUUAUUGGGCGUAAAGAGCGUGUAGGCGGCCAGACAGGUCCGUUGUGAAAACUCGAGGCUCAACCUCGAGACGCCGAUGGAAACCGUCUGGCUAGAGUCCGGAAGAGGAGAGUGGAAUUCCUGGUGUAGCGGUGAAAUGCGCAGAUAUCAGGAAGAACACCCGUGGCUAAGGCGGCUCUCUAGUACGGUACUGACGCUGAGGUGCGAAAGCGUGGGGAGCAAACAGG
rnacentral:rRNA from 1 species